rnacentral:lncRNA from 1 species
UGAGGCUCUUCUCAAACUCUCUCUAAACCCUAGCCUCUCUCGUCAUCUUCAACCUCAAUCCCACCGGAAUCCAUGGACUCUCAGGCCAUGGAUGGCUUAAACUCAUCUAUAUAUGCUAUUAAACACUUGGUAUUCGAAGGUUCAAGGUCUGACCUCGAUGGUGUCCAUUUUGAUCUUCGCUGAUUCAAGGUUCUAUGGCUAUCUCCGGCACAGCUUCGGUAUGCUAUGGUUUUUUGAGCCUAGUUCUGACUUAUCUGACUUAGAUCGAACCUUUUUCCAAGCCUUUCUCGUUCUAGGGUUCUUCUGAAACCCUGAUUACUUAAGGUUCUCUUUGAUUUUUUUUCUUAGAUCUGUCACAUAUAUGUGCUCUACUUGGGGUUUUAAACAAUUCCCCCAAUUUUUCUUUCAAAAAUUAUCUUUUAAAAUCACUUUUCUUCGAUUUAGGGUUUUCUGAAAGUAUUAAAAUGUUUAUCCGACUUUUCUUUUCCUUUCUUUGUGUGUAUUUGCAACGCAUGUGCUUUUACUGCUUUCUUAUGCUUUCUUUUUACUAUACGUGUUCUUCUAUGUUUCAUUUUCCUACUGUGUUUCUAUACCAUGCUCGCAUGUUUAUCUUGUUGUAUUUUCCGAUAUGUUCUUUUGCUACACUUUUUGGGUAUUUUGUGUUCUUAUAUUGUAUGUAGUUUCUACUUGUAUUUGCUUGUCUUCUCAUGAGAUUCUGAAAAGAAAUAUCUGAGCCUGUUACCUCCUCAUCUCUGCAUUUGACUCAAGGAGGAAACCCUAGAAUUUGGGGAGUUCCUCCGAGUUUGGUCAUUUGAACGGACCAGGGUUCUGUUUUAGAAACACGGACUCGUUCAGGCUUAUUUCUGAGUCUAUCAACUAAGUGUUAAUUUCUGUUGUUUGCACACAAUCCCGAUUCUCCUACACUAGACCCUUCUAUUGAAUAACAUGACAAGUCUCUUCAUGUUUAACGUGCCUGUAUGUUUUUUUAUAUGAGGAACUUUUAUUCACAAAGGGUUUUCCCAACUUGUGAUUGAUUCUGAAUUCUUUUUUAAUAAGUCUAAUUGAUUGGUACUGAUUUUCCUUAAGUCAAAAUCUUUCCCAUCUUUUUGACCUGGUUCAUUCAUACAAAAUCUACAAUUUCUGAUUUACUAGCUUUUAAUUAAUUUCCUUGCCUUAUUUAUCAUGUACUAUCAAGACUUUUUACUUAAAUAUACAUCUAUGUAUUUACCCCUCUUGAAGUGCUUGAUUAAUAUCUUUCCUUAAUUAGUUUACCCGUUCUAAAUCAGAAUCCCUUUAAUUAAAAGGAAACCUUGUGUAAUUCAUUUCCAAACUAUUUUCUUACAUAUUCCUACUUACUUUCUACACUAUAAAAGGGCACGACCCUUCUGCACUUUUAGAACACACAUUACACACUUCAGGCACUUAUAAUCUCACAAUUCCUUUUUAAACUCAUAGUAUUCUGACUACUUAUUUGCACUUUUGCUUUACAAGACUGUUGCUUUCUUUUGCCUGUUUACUUGAGACCGGUAUGUUCUAGUUUUCAUUUAAGCAUAAUCCCAAUGUGUGUACUUACAGCUUUUACAUCCAUAUCUAUUUACUGUUUAUAUGGAGUUUUAGCAUGUUAAUAUCCUUUGAUUUGUUUCUGUUGUGAAUUCCCGCACCCCUGUUUCCCCUAUGUGCUUUGAGUUGUAGUUCAUAACAUGGAAGUAUUCCAGUUAUCGUUCUUGAUCCCUUAGGGGGUCCUAACUUCGAAUAAACUAUGUUCUAACAGGCUGGUGGGAUGUGCCAGCAUUUUCUAUUGCUGGGCAUGACCACUAGCCUAUUUUUGUCACUCCCCUUUCCCCUUUUAAAUAUUCCUUCUAUGCACUUACUCUAAUUCCUAGCUUCUAAGUUCUUCCCCCUCCAAUGAGCCAUGCCUUGGUACCUUGAGUUCCCUCUGAACUUGGACACUUGAGGACUGGCCCUUUCACACUCCACUAUAUCUUAAUCUUGCAAUAUAUUUGGGCGUGAGGACUGCACGGAGUCCAUUUGAGGCUGUUAGGGAACUCUGAUAUACCCCAAAUGAGAAAGGCUUUGGAUCUUAAUCUUUGGAGUUGGUUUACUUCGCGCUUCAGGCGUGAAACCUGAAUCAAGUUCUCCUUGGAUGUAAUUUUAUUUGUUUCUGAUAUAGUUUCUUUAUUUUAUUUUUUGGAUUGUAAUAAUUCUAUAAUAAACUUCUGGAGUGAUUGGUGAAAAAAGGGAAGGGUAACCAGGCACGCAAAGGGUAGAUAUUACGCUCACAGGAAAUUACUGCACUCCUAUAUUCAUGUAUCCUGCUUACAGCUUUUCAUGUCUGCAUCGACAUAGAUAUCUUAUUUCCGUGGCUAGAUAUGGAGUUUUUGGAGUAGUUUUGGGCAGGUGUUUUUGGUUGAUUUUUAUGAAUUUUUUGAGCUUGAUGGUGUCUUAACAAUGAUGGAAAAUGCAGUUGGAUUUACCGAAUGUUUGUAACUGAAUUACUG